rnacentral:rRNA from 1 species
GACGAACGCUGGCGGCGUGCUUAACACAUGCAAGUCGAACGGAAAGGCCCUGCUUUUGUGGGGUGCUCGAGUGGCGAACGGGUGAGUAACACGUGAGUAACCUGCCCUUGACUUUGGGAUAACUUCAGGAAACUGGGGCUAAUACCGGAUAGGAGCUCCUGCUGCAUGGUGGGGGUUGGAAAGUUUCGGCGGUUGGGGAUGGACUCGCGGCUUAUCAGCUUGUUGGUGGGGUAGUGGCUUACCAAGGCUUUGACGGGUAGCCGGCCUGAGAGGGUGACCGGCCACAUUGGGACUGAGAUACGGCCCAGACGCCUACGGGAGGCAGCAGUGGGGAAUAUUGCACAAUGGGCGGAAGCCUGAUGCAGCAACGCCGCGUGCGGGAUGACGGCCUUCGGGUUGUAAACCGCUUUCGCCUGUGACGAAGCGUGAGUAACGGUAAUGGGUAAAGAAGCACCGGCUAACUACGU